rnacentral:lncRNA from 1 species
GAAAAAUUGAACGAACAAUGUCAAAUGAAAAAUGGUUAGGCAAAUCAUAAACUAUGCAUAUUUAGAAAUAUUCAUGUAAAUGUUCAAAAUUUCAAGUUUCCAGGGAAAUAUAAAAUCAACAUUUUCGACUAGAACAAGGCCUUCAAAUUUAUAGGUUUCAGAAGGCCAACAUAACCAGAGACAUCAAGAAAUAGAACCUACUACAUUAACUGCAUAAUUAAGUUACGAAUAAAACUCAGACACAAAAUACAGCAGAUAAUCUAUUCAAUUGGAGUGGAAAAAUUCUUCUCUGCCGACAAAUUUGCCGAGACCAAUGUUUUUCUAGGAAUAUUGAUAUAACCGUGCAAGUCAAGGACUCAAAAGCUACUUGUGCUCCAACUUCCACACAGCAAUACCCAUCAAGCUCUUUUCCUCAUUGCUAACUAUAAAUAUCUGCAUCAUAUGAUAGUAACACCUUCAAGAAACUGUAUUAUACAAAGAUCAAAGUCGCACAAACAUAAAUGGGUAAAAAACAACUCGACAUGAGAGUAUCAUUGGCCACUAAUAGUCUACAUCAAAAUGCGAGUUGUUGCCACAUAAUAUAUCCACGCUAGGUUAUAACAACACACUCAGCAUUAUCAAUCCUCAACAUGCAUGAUUCAAGCACACAAAAGUUAAUCUUUUACCAGUGUAUUCAAGACCAUUUAAUGGUCUACAAAAGUUGACAUGGCUCCAUAAACUGAAUAUUUUACAAUCAUUUCCAAUAGACAAGGUAAAAUGGUUUAAAUGAACCCCCACACAAAAAUACCAAAUGCCAAUAAACUCCUCCACGAAUUGGUCCAGGCAAAUAAAAAUUAAAACCUUUUUGGCGUUCCCGUUAGUUAUUUAGCAUAUUCAAGCAAAUACUGAUGGAAUGCUAAAUUCU